rnacentral:rRNA from 1 species
CUUGACCGGGCAAGUAGCAUAAUCAAUUGUCUUUUAAUUGAAGACUAGUAUGAAAGGUUGGAUGAGAUAUAAGCUAUUUUUAUUUUAAAGUAAAUGAAUUUUAAUUUUCAGUAAAAAUGCUUAAAUAAAAAAAUAAGACGAGAAGACCCUAUAAAUCUUUAUUUUAUGGUUUUUAUAUAAUUUUUUGGAAAUUUUUUUUUGAAAAAAAAUAAAAUUUAAUUGGGGCGAUGUUAAAAUUUAAAAAACUUUUAUUUUUUUAAAAUAAAUAUAUUUAAUUUAAAAUGAUCCAUUUUUAAUGAUUAAAAAUUUAAGUUACUUUAGGGAUAACAGCGUAAUUAUUUUGGAUAGUUCAUAUUAAUAAAAUAGAUUGCGACCUCGAUGUUGAAUUAAAAGUAAGUAAAUGCAGAAGUUG